AUUGAACGCUGGCGGCAGGCCUAACACAUGCAAGUCGAACGGUAACAGGAAGCAGCUUGCUGCUUCGCUGACGAGUGGCGGACGGGUGAGUAAUGUCUGGGAAACUGCCUGAUGGAGGGGGAUAACUACUGGAAACGGUAGCUAAUACCGCAUAACGUCGCAAGACCAAAGAGGGGGACCUUAGGGCCUCUUGCCAUCGGAUGUGCCCAGAUGGGAUUAGCUAGUAGGUGGGGUAACGGCUCACCUAGGCGACGAUCCCUAGCUGGUCUGAGAGGAUGACCAGCCACACUGGAACUGAGACACGGUCCAGACUCCUACGGGAGGCAGCAGUGGGGAAUAUUGCACAAUGGGCGCAAGCCUGAUGCAGCCAUGCCGCGUGUAUGAAGAAGGCCUUCGGGUUGUAAAGUACUUUCAGCGGGGAGGAAGGGAGUAAAGUUAAUACCUUUGCUCAUUGACGUUACCCGCAGAAGAAGCACCGGCUAACUCCGUGCCAGCAGCCGCGGUAGUACGGAGGGUGCAAGCGUUAAUCGGAAUUACUGGGCGUAAAGCGCACGCAGGCGGUUUGUUAAGUCAGAUGUGAAAUCCCCGGGCUCAACCUGGGAACUGCAUCUGAUACUGGCAAGCUUGAGUCUCGUAGAGGGGGGUAGAAUUCCAGGUGUAGCGGUGAAAUGCGUAGAGAUCUGGAGGAAUACCGGUGGCGAAGGCGGCCCCCUGGACGAAGACUGACGCUCAGGUGCGAAAAGCGUGGGGGAGCAAACAGGA
rnacentral:rRNA from 1 species